rnacentral:rRNA from 1 species
CCUACGGGAGGCAGCAGUGAGGAAUAUUGGUCAAUGGACGAGAGUCUGAACCAGCCAAGUAGCGUGAAGGAUGACUGCCCUAUGGGUUGUAAACUUCUUUUAUAUGGGAAUAAAACGUUCCACGUGUGGGAUUUUGUAUGUACCAUAUGAAUAAGGAUCGGCUAACUCCGUGCCAGCAGCCGCGGUAAUACGGAGGAUCCGAGCGUUAUCCGGAUUUAUUGGGUUUAAAGGGAGCGUAGGUGGAUUGUUAAGUCAGUUGUGAAAGUUUGCGGCUCAACCGUAAAAUUGCAGUUGAUACUGGCAGUCUUGAGUACAGUAGAGGUAGGCGGAAUUCGUGGUGUAGCGGUGAAAUGCUUAGAUAUCACGAAGAACUCCGAUUGCGAAGGCAGUUCACUGGACUGCAACUGACACUGAUGCUCGAAAGUGUGGGUAUCAAACAGGAUUAGAUACCCUUGUAGUC